UCUAUCAUGCAGUCGAGCGAUGGAUUAAGAGCUUGCUCUUAUGAAGUUAGCGGCGGACGGGUGAGUAACACGUGGGUAACCUGCCCAUAAGACUGGGAUAACUCCGGGAAACCGGGGCUAAUACCGGAUAACAUUUUGAACCGCAUGGUUCGAAAUUGAAAGGCGGCUUCGGCUGUCACUUAUGGAUGGACCCGCGUCGCAUUAGCUAGUUGGUGAGGUAACGGCUCACCAAGGCAACGAUGCGUAGCCGACCUGAGAGGGUGAUCGGCCACACUGGGACUGAGACACGGCCCAGACUCCUACGGGAGGCAGCAGUAGGGAAUCUUCCGCAAUGGACGAAAGUCUGACGGAGCAACGCCGCGUGAGUGAUGAAGGCUUUCGGGUCGUAAAACUCUGUUGUUAGGGAAGAACAAGUGCUAGUUGAAUAAGCUGGCACCUUGACGGUACCUAACCAGAAAGCCACGGCUAACUACGUGCCAGCAGCCGCGGUAAUACGUAGGUGGCAAGCGUUAUCCGGAAUUAUUGGGCGUAAAGCGCGCGCAGGUGGUUUCUUAAGUCUGAUGUGAAAGCCCACGGCUCAACCGUGGAGGGUCAUUGGAAACUGGGAGACUUGAGUGCAGAAGAGGAAAGUGGAAUUUCCAUGUGUAGCGGUGAAAUGCGUAGAGAUAUGGAGGAACACCAGUGGCGAGCGACUUUCUGGUCUGUACUGACACUGAGCCCGAAAGCGGU
rnacentral:rRNA from 1 species